AUGAAUACAUUGAAUCAAGAUGGUGUUCUUGACAGAACUGAGAGGGAACCGUUUGAUAGUGCUGAUCGUGAGAUAAUUUUGGCUGUCAAUGAUCCUGAGCAGUUGGAUUAUGUUGAUGCUCUGCCAAUGACAGAUGAGGAGCAGGACGCAAAAUUUUCUCAAGUUGCCGGAGUUAGUGUAUUCUCUUCUGAAGGAACUACCGAAGCUAUUUACAGUGCAGCUGGGGCCGUGAUAAGGGGUUCCGACCUUGUGGUUGAAGAGUAUUAUGAGACUGCUUUUGCAAUAAUCAGACCUCCAGGGCAUCAUGCUCAUAAGAUUUCUGAAGGUUUCUGCUUUUUGAACAAUGUUGCUAUAGCUACUCAACAUGUUGUUGACCACCAUCACAUCGAAAGAGCUUUGGUGGUUGAUUUCGACGUGCAUCAUGGCAAUGGCACGCAGGAACUCUUUUAUGGAAGCAAACAAGUUCUUUUCUUUUCCACACAUAGGAGAGAUCUCUCCUAUCCUGCAUCAAAAAGUAGCGUAAACGAUAUUGGUGACGGGGUGGGCUUGGGUUAUAAUAUAAAUGUUCCUCUCAAGAAAGGUUUUAAUGAUGUCGACAUGCUUUACGUAUGCGAUCAACUUCUCGGCCCUGUGGCCACUGCGUUUAAGCCAGAAGUAGUGUUCGUUUCUGCUGGUUAUGAUGCUGGGGAAGGUGAAACAAUAGGAGGUUGCAACGUUUCUGCAAAGGGUUUUGGCACGAUUGUCCGUAAGUUAUUGCCUCUCUCAGGAGGAAAAAUGGUAUUAGCUCUUGAAGGAGGGUAUAAUCUAGUUCAUCUUCCUAUAUGUGUUUCGCACACGAUUCGAGCAAUUUUGGGAGAUGAAGAUGCGUUCCUUCAGGAUUCUGAUUACAGAGAUAAACUUCCAUUCAAAAGCACCAUCCGCACAGUCAAUACCAUCAAGCAUAACUUGAGAUUAUGUUGGGAUGUUUUUAAGGCCAAGUCCUGA
rnacentral:rRNA from 1 species